rnacentral:rRNA from 1 species
AGCAGCCGCGGUAAUUCCAGCUCCAAUAGCGUAUAUUAAAGUUGCUGCAGUUAAAAAGCUCGUAGUUGAAUUUCGGGAUCAAUAUGUUGGUCGUGCCUUGGUACGUACUAGCUUAUUGAUUUUCUCCCUUCUGACGAACCAUGAUGUCAUUAAUUUGGUGUCUUGGGGAAUCAGGACUGUUACUUUGAAAAAAUUAGAGUGUUUAAAGCAGGCUCACGCUUGAAUACAUUAGCAUGGAAUAAUGAAAUAGGACGUUUGAUUCUAUUUUGUUGGUUUCUAGGAUCGAUGUAAUGAUUAAUAGGGAUAGUUGGGGGCAUUAGUAUUCAAUUGUCAGAGGUGAAAUUCUUGGAUUUAUUGAAGACUAACUACUGCGAAAGCAUUUGCCAAGGAUGUUUUCAUUAAUCAAGAACGAAAGUUAGGGGAUCGAAGACGAUCAGAUACCGUCGUAGUCUUAACCAUAAACUAUGCC